CACGUAGGGGGCAAGCGUUGUCCGGAUUUAUUGGGCGUAAAGAGCUCGUAGGCGGUUCGCUAAGUCGGGUGUGAAAACCACGGGCUUAACUCGUGGCCUGCAGUUGAGACUGUCUGGCUUGAGUGUGGGAGAGGAGAGUGGAAUUCCUGGUGUAGCGGUGAAAUGCGUAGAUAUCAGGAGGAACACCGGUGGCGAAGGCGCUCUGCUAGGCCGCAACUGACACUGAGGGACGAAAGCUAGGGGAGCGAAUGGG
rnacentral:rRNA from 1 species